GACGAACGCUGGCGGCGUGCCUAAUACAUGCGAGUAGAACGCUGAAGGAGGAGCUUGCUCUUCUGGAUGAGUUGCGAACGGGUGAGUAACGCGUAGGUAACCUGCCUGGUAGCGGGGGAUAACUAUUGGAAACGAUAGCUAAUACCGCAUAAGAGUAGAUGUUGCAUGACAUUUACUUAAAAGGUGCAAUUGCAUCACUACCAGAUGGACCUGCGUUGUAUUAGCUAGUUGGUGGGGUAACGGCUUACCAAGGCGACGAUACAUAGCCGACCUGAGAGGGGGAUCGGCCACACUGGGAAUGAGACACGGCCCAGACUCCUACGGGAGGCAGCAGUAGGGAAUCUUCGGCAAUGGACGGAAGUCUGACCGAGCAACGCCGCGGGAGUGAAGAAGGUUUUCGGAUCGUAAAGCUCUGUUGUAAGAGAAGAACGAGUGUGAGAGUGGAAAGUUCACACUGUGACGGUAUCUUACCAGAAAGGGACGGCUAACUACGUG
rnacentral:rRNA from 1 species